ensembl:lncRNA
AUGGUCUCCUUUUUCAAGAAAUGUUCGAACUGUGGGAGCAAUCUCCCUGAGGCAGAUGGACAUUCUAAAUGCCUCUUAUGCCUGGGUGAGGGGCAUAUCACUCAAUCCUGCCAUGUGUGCCAGGGGUUUACACCUCAGGCACGUAAAAAUCGGGAAUCCAGAUUGAAAGCUUUGCUCUAUGAGCAGGCCCUGGCGCCUAACCUCGCUGGGCCUUCCCCCCCUCAGGCUAGGCCUCAUCCAUCGGCCUCAAACAACGCUAGAUCGCCAAGCCCCGCGAGUCAUCCACCAUCUGAGGCGGUCCAGACUGGGCCUCUGAGUGUGGAGGAACCAGGGACUGCCCUAGACUCCCACCAAUCCACCCGUCCGCGCGAUGCCCGAAAGAAGACAAAAAAAGUAAAGCAAUUGAAAGCACCGCGCCCUCGGCCCACCCGGCAACAACCCGACCUUACCAUAAGACGCUCCCCGGUGCGGAGCGAUCCUCCUCCGCUCACCCCAAUUGAGCCGCAGGGCUCACAGGUGCUCAGCCCAACCGGGCUUACCCCUGCUCAGCCGGCCCCACUGUUGCCGAGCGAACAGCAGGAGGCGCGGGGUCGGGGACGGAGCCUGGCGGCACGCAGCUCAUCAUCGAGCUCCCUCACUUCCUCUCCCUCACCUAAAAGAUCCAGGAGGGGCCAGAGAGGCCGCCCAUCCCGGCGUCGGCAUUCCUCUUCAUCGAGCCCGGGGCGCUCCAUUGCUGAUUCAAACGCCAGGAGCCGCUCUAGAGACUCCCGAUUCCCUCCUUAUCCAUAUGGAUUCCCUCCCUACCCAUUUAUGCCACCCGGAUUCGAGGGCUUUCACUUUUGGAAUCCAUAUGGGCUCUAUUCAGCCCCACCGGGUUCGAAGCGUAGUUACGCGUCUCAAGACUGCACCCUGCUGGCAAGCCGGGGCAAUGCAGCUGCAGAAAGUCUCCCUUUAAAACAAACCUCAGGCUCAGCGCCGGAGAUGGGAGAAAGGGAAAUGCGCGCCCAAUCUCCACCCCCUUCAGCGCCACAGGUGCCGCCGGUCCCAGGGACCCCGCGGGUGGGGGCGUUACUGGGACCCUCUCAGGAGACUGAGGCUGAUCGCUCUGAAGACACUGAGGGCCAACCUUCCACGUCAGCUCCACUUGCGGACCCGCAUGAUGACCUUGACCCCCCCUCAGCGGAGGAUAUCAAAACCUUCUCAUCUUUAUUGAUUCGCCUCUCUAAGGCGCUUAACUUGCCAGCUCAAAAACCUGCAAAGGUGGUCAGUGACCCCGUUUAUCCUUCUUCCAAACAACAAGGGCCCCUUACCACAGCGCUGCCAUCCCUUCCCUACUUAAUAGAGAUAAUUAAGAAUGAGGGAGUAUCUCCAGCGGCUCUUCCUGCUACCCCCAGGAGAUACCUCUAUAAAAUUGAUUUUUCCGGAGCUCAAUGGUUAGCCAAGCAGCCUAAACUGAAUUCUCGUGUUGUGGAUGUUACCCAACCCAAGCAAAUUCAGCGUUCCCAACCAGCGCCCACGGAUAAAGAGGGCAAAAAACUGGAGAGCAUGGGGAAGAAGUUCUAUUCU